GACCCCGUGAACCUUUACUAUAGCUUGACACUGAACAUUGAGCCUUGAUGUGUAGGAUAGGUGGGAGGCUUUGAAGUGUGGACGCCAGUCUGCAUGGAGCCGACCUUGAAAUACCACCCUUUAAUGUUUGAUGUUCUAACGUUGACCCGUAAUCCGGGUUGCGGACAGUGUCUGGUGGGUAGUUUGACUGGGGCGGUCUCCUCCUAAAGAGUAACGGAGGAGCACGAAGGUUGGCUAAUCCUGGUCGGACAUCAGGAGGUUAGUGCAAUGGCAUAAGCCAGCUUGACUGCGAGCGUGACGGCGCGAGCAGGUGCGAAAGCAGGUCAUAGUGAUCCGGUGGUUCUGAAUGGAAGGGCCAUCGCUCAACGGAUAAAAGGUACUCCGGGGAUAACAGGCUGAUACCGCCCAAGAGUUCAUAUCGACGGCGGUGUUUGGCACCUCGAUGUCGGCUCAUCACAUCCUGGGGCUGAAGUAGGUCCCAAGGGUAUGGCUGUUCGCCAUUUAAAGUGGUACGCGAGCUGGGUUUAGAACGUCGUGAGACAGUUCGGUCCCUAUCUGCCGUGGGCGCUGGAGAACUGAGGGGGGCUGCUCCUAGUACGAGAGGACCGGAGUGGACGCAUCACUGGUGUUCGGGUUGUCAUGCCAAUGGCACUGCCCGGUAGCUAAAUGCGGAAGAGAUAAGUGCUGAAAGCAUCUAAGCACGAAACUUGCCCCGAGAUGAGUUCUCCCUGACCCUUUAAGAGUCCUGAAGGAACGUUGAAGACGACGACGUUGAUAGGCCGGGUGUGUAAGCGCAGCGAUGCGUUGAGCUAACCGGUACUAAUGAACCG
rnacentral:rRNA from 1 species